UACGAAGGGGGUUAGCGUUGUUCGGAAUCACUGGGCGUAAAGCGCACGUAGGCGGCGCGGUAAGUCGGGUGUGAAAUCUCGGAGCUUAACUCCGAAACUGCAUUCGAUACUGCCGUGCUUGAGGACUGGAGAGGAGACUGGAAUUUACGGUGUAGCGGUGAAAUGCGUAGAUAUCGUAAGGAAGACCAGUGGCGAAGGCGGGUCUCUGGGACGGUACUGACGCUGAGACGCGAAAGCGUGGGGAGCGAACAGG
rnacentral:rRNA from 1 species